UACGGAGGGUGCAAACGUUGCUCGGAAUCAUUGGGCGUAAAGCGCACGUAGGCGGCCUGUUAAGUCGGAUGUGAAAGCCCCGGGCUCAACCCGGGAAGUGCAUUCGAAACUGGCAGGCUUGAAUAUGGAAGAGGGUCGCGGAAUUCCCGGUGUAGAGGUGAAAUUCGUAGAUAUCGGGAGGAACACCAGUGGCGAAGGCGGCAUCCUGGACCGAGAUUGACGCUGAGGAGCGAAAGCUAGGGGAGCAAACGGG
rnacentral:rRNA from 1 species